AUAAACUAUAUUGCACCUCAUACUUGAAGCCAUUUGUAGACAAUGUCAAGCACAACCUCAAUUCAAUAUUGUGUACCAAAUCACUAGUUUUCUAAUCGAUUGUCUUAAAAUAGAAAUCAAUAUAUGAAGUGGAAUAGGUGUUUAAAUCUCAUAAGUAGGUUGUCAAUGAUUUUCUUCUUAAACCGAAUGCAAACUCUUUCUCUCUCGCUCGCUUGCUAUUUUUCAUACAUACACAUGCACACUCAUAUCUAUCAGCGGUAAUGGAAAUUAUGGAUUUGGUUUCCUGUAUACUAUUGGAUUGUGCUAUAAUAGAUUCAGCACAACAUACAAACACACAUGCACAAUUAAUGCAUCCGUAUGCAAACAGUAAGAAACCAGCCCAUUCAACAAUAAUAUGCAAUAACUUGAACACCACUUAAACAUACGUUCACCACUGAUGCAUCUAUAUCCCAACCACAAAAAUAUAUCUCAUUCAACAAUAAAACGACAUU
rnacentral:lncRNA from 1 species